GGGCACUGGAAGGUCCCUAAACCGAAAGGGGCUCUGCCCGCCCGAGGAUGGGCCGGCGGCCGAUUAGGUAGUUGGUGGGGUAACGGCCCACCAAGCCCAUAAUCGGUACGGGCAGUGAGAGCUGGAGCCCGGAGAUGGACACUGAGACACGGGUCCAGGCCCUACGGGGCGCAGCAGGCGCGAAACCUCCGCAAUGCUCGAAAGAGCGACGGGGGGACCCCAAGUGCCGUGGUACAACCACGGCUUUUCCGGAGUGUAAGAAGCUCCGGGAAUAAGGGCUGGGCAAGGCCGGUGGCAGCCGCCGCGGUAAUACCGGCGGCCCGAGUGGUGGCCACUAUUAUUGGGCCUAAAGCGUCCGUAGCCGGGCUUGUAAGUCCCUGGCGAAAUCCCACGGCUCAACCGUGGGGCUUGCUGGGGAUACUGCAAGCCUUGGGACCGGGAGAGGCCGGGGGUACUCCUGGGGUAGGGGUGAAAUCCUAUAAUCCCAGGAGGACCGCCAGUGGCGAAGGCGCCCGGCUGGAACGGGUCCGACGGUGAGGGACGAAGGCCAGGGGAGCAAACCGGAUUAGAUACCCGGGUAGUCCUGGCUGUAAAGGAUGCGGGCUAGGUGUUGCUUGGACCUCGAGUCCAAGCAGUGCCGCAGGGAAGCCGUU
rnacentral:rRNA from 1 species